rnacentral:rRNA from 1 species
CAAGUCGAACGCGAAAGGGGCUUCGGCCCUGAGUAGAGUGGCGAACGGGUGAGUAACACGUGGGUGAUCUACCUUCGAGUGGGGGAUAACGUUCCGAAAGGAGCGCUAAUACCGCAUGACGUUCCGGGUUUAAAGACCUGGAAACCAAAGCCGGGGACCGCAAGGCCUGGCGCUUGAAGAGGAGCCCGCGUCCGAUUAGCUAGUUGGCGGGGUAAUGGCCCACCAAGGCGACGAUCGGUAGCCGGCCUGAGAGGGCGGACGGCCACACUGGAACUGAGACACGGUCCAGACUCCUACGGGAGGCAGCAGUGGGGAAUUGUUCACAAUGGGCGCAAGCCUGAUGACGCAACGCCGCGUGGGGGAUGAAGGUCUUCGGAUUGUAAACCCCUGUCGAACGGGACGAACGGCCCCUGGGCUAAUCACCAGGGGAGUGACGGUACCGUUAAAGGAAGCCACGGCUAACUCUGUGCCAGCAGCCGCGGUAAUACAGAGGUGGCAAGCGUUGUUCGGAAUUACUGGGCGUAAAGGGCGCGUAGGCGGCCAUCUAAGUCAGACGUGAAAUCCCCCGGCUUAACCUGGGAACUGCGUCUGAUACUGGAAGGCUCGAGUUUGGGAGAGGGAUGUGGAAUUCCAGGUGUAGCGGUGAAAUGCGUAGAUAUCUGGAGGAACACCGGUGGCGAAGGCGGCAUCCUGGACCAACACUGACGCUAAGGCGCGAAAGCUAGGGGAGCAAACGGGAUUAGAUACCCCGGUAGUCCUAGCCCUAAACGAUGAAUG